rnacentral:rRNA from 1 species
UAAAAUAAUUUAAAAAGACGAUAAGACCCUAUAAAGCUUAUAUUAAUUGAAUAUUAUUACUGAAUUAUUAAGGUAGAUAAAAGUAUAUUAUACAGUUUUUAUUUUAUUGGGGCGAUAGAAGUAAAAUUUUUAGUAACUGCUUAUAUUUUAAGACAAAAGAUAAAUGAAUAAGAUUUAUAGAAGAUCCUAAUUGAAGAUUAAAAGGUUAAGUUACUUUAGGGAUAACAGCGUAAUUUUUUUUGAGAGUUCUUAUCGACAAAAAAGUUUGCGACCUCGAUGUUGAAUUAAAAUUUCUUUACAAUUGCAGCAGUUGUAAAAGAAGGUCUGUUCGACCUUUAAAUUUUU